AGUGAACGCUGGCGGCGUGCCUAAUACAUGCAAGUCGAACGGAGUGGCGCACGGGUGAGUAAUAUAUAGCUAAUCUGCCCCUUGCUGGAGGACAACAGUUAGAAAUGACUGCUAAUACUCCAUAGCAAGGGAUGAGACUAUAUCGUAUAAGCUAGUCGGUGGGGUAACGGCCUACCGAGGCUAUGACGCGUAACUGGUCUGAGAGGAUGAUCAGCAAAAUUGGAAUGGAGAAACGGUCCAAAUCCCUCCGGGAGGCAGCGGUAGGAAAAAUGGCGAAUGGGGGGAAACCCUGACGCAGCAACGCCGCGUGGAGGAUGACACUUUUCGGAGCGUAAACUCCUUUUGUUAGGGAAGCGGUACCUAACGAAUAAGCACCGGCUAACUCCGUGCCAGCAGCCGCGGUAAUUC
rnacentral:rRNA from 1 species